rnacentral:rRNA from 1 species
CCAGGAAAAGCCUCUAAGCAUCAGGUAACAUGAAAUCGUACCCCAAACCGACACAGGUGGUCAGGUAGAGAAUACUCAGGCGCUUGAGAGAACUCGGGUGAAGGAACUAGGCAAAAUGGUGCCGUAACUUCGGGAGAAGGCACGCUGGCAUUAGGUAAAGGGACUUGCUCCCGGCGCCGAAGCCAGUCGCAGAUACCAGCUGGCUGCAACUGUUUAAUAAAAACACAGCACUGUGCAAACACGAAAGUGGACGUAUACGGUGUGACGCCUGCCCGGUGCUGGAAGGUUAAUUGAUGGGGUCAGCCGCAAGGCGAAGCUCUUGAUCGAAGCCCCAGUAAACGGCGGCCGUAACUAUAACGGUCCUAAGGUAGCGAAAUUCCUUGUCGGGUAAGUUCCGACCUGCACGAAUGGCGUAAUGAUGGCCAGGCUGUCUCCACCCGAGACUCAGUGAAAUUGAACUCGCUGUGAAGAUGCAGUGUACCCGCGGCAAGACGGAAAGACCCCGUGAACCUUUACUAUAGCUUGACACUGAACAUUGAGCCUUGAUGUGUAGGAUAGGUGGGAGGCAUAGAAGUGU